GGUUAAGCGACUAAGCGUACACGGUGGAUGCCCUGGCAGUCAGAGGCGAUGAAGGACGUGCUAAUCUGCGAUAAGCGUCGGUAAGGUGAUAUGAACCGUUAUAACCGGCGAUUUCCGAAUGGGGAAACCCAGUGUGUUUCGACACACUAUCAUUAACUGAAUCCAUAGGUUAAUGAGGCGAACCGGGGGAACUGAAACAUCUAAGUACCCCGAGGAAAAGAAAUCAACCGAGAUUCCCCCAGUAGCGGCGAGCGAACGGGGAGCAGCCCAGAGCCUGAAUCAGUGUGUGUGUUAGUGGAAGCGUCUGGAAAGGCGCGCGAUACAGGGUGACAGCCCCGUACACAAAAAUGCACAUGCUGUGAGCUCGAUGAGUAGGGCGGGACACGUGGUAUCCUGUCUGAAUAUGGGGGGACCAUCCUCCAAGGCUAAAUACUCCUGACUGACCGAUAGUGAACCAGUACCGUGAGGGAAAGGCGAAAAGAACCCCGGCGAGGGGAGUGAAAAAGAACCUGAAACCGUGUACGUACAAGCAGUGGGAGCCUCUUUUAUGGGGUGACUGCGUACCUUUUGUAUAAUGGGUCAGCGACUUAUAUUCUGUAGCAAGGUUAACCGAAUAGGGGAGCCGAAGGGAAACCGAGUCUUAACUGGGCGUUAAGUUGCAGGGUAUAGACCCGAAACCCGGUGAUCUAGCCAUGGGCAGGUUGAAGGUUGGGUAACACUAACUGGAGGACCGAACCGACUAAUGUUGAAAAAUUAGCGGAUGACUUGUGGCUGGGGGUGAAAGGCCAAUCAAACCGGGAGAUAGCUGGUUCUCCCCGAAAGCUAUUUAGGUAGCGCCUCGUGAAUUCAUCUCCGGGGGUAGAGCACUGUUUCGGCAAGGGGGUCAUCCCGACUUACCAACCCGAUGCAAACUGCGAAUACCGGAGAAUGUUAUCACGGGAGACACACGGCGGGUGCUAACGUCCGUCGUGAAGAGGGAAACAACCCAGACCGCCAGCUAAGGUCCCAAAGUCAUGGUUAAGUGGGAAACGAUGUGGGAAGGCCCAGACAGCCAGGAUGUUGGCUUAGAAGCAGCCAUCAUUUAAAGAAAGCGUAAUAGCUCACUGGUCGAGUCGGCCUGCGCGGAAGAUGUAACGGGGCUAAACCAUGCACCGAAGCUGCGGCAGCGACGCUUAUGCGUUGUUGGGUAGGGGAGCGUUCUGUAAGCCUGUGAAGGUGUGCUGUGAGGCAUGCUGGAGGUAUCAGAAGUGCGAAUGCUGACAUAAGUAACGAUAAAGCGGGUGAAAAGCCCGCUCGCCGGAAGACCAAGGGUUCCUGUCCAACGUUAAUCGGGGCAGGGUGAGUCGACCCCUAAGGCGAGGCCGAAAGGCGUAGUCGAUGGGAAACAGGUUAAUAUUCCUGUACUUGGUGUUACUGCGAAGGGGGGACGGAGAAGGCUAUGUUGGCCGGGCGACGGUUGUCCCGGUUUAAGCGUGUAGGCUGGUUUUCCAGGCAAAUCCGGAAAAUCAAGGCUGAGGCGUGAUGACGAGGCACUACGGUGCUGAAGCAACAAAUGCCCUGCUUCCAGGAAAAGCCUCUAAGCAUCAGGUAACAUCAAAUCGUACCCCAAACCGACACAGGUGGUCAGGUAGAGAAUACCAAGGCGCUUGAGAGAACUCGGGUGAAGGAACUAGGCAAAAUGGUGCCGUAACUUCGGGAGAAGGCACGCUGAUAUGUAGGUGAGGUCCCUCGCGGAUGGAGCUGAAAUCAGUCGAAGAUACCAGCUGGCUGCAACUGUUUAUUAAAAACACAGCACUGUGCAAACACGAAAGUGGACGUAUACGGUGUGACGCCUGCCCGGUGCCGGAAGGUUAAUUGAUGGGGUCAGCGCAAGCGAAGCUCUUGAUCGAAGCCCCGGUAAACGGCGGCCGUAACUAUAACGGUCCUAAGGUAGCGAAAUUCCUUGUCGGGUAAGUUCCGACCUGCACGAAUGGCGUAAUGAUGGCCAGGCUGUCUCCACCCGAGACUCAGUGAAAUUGAACUCGCUGUGAAGAUGCAGUGUACCCGCGGCAAGACGGAAAGACCCCGUGAACCUUUACUAUAGCUUGACACUGAACAUUGAGCCUUGAUGUGUAGGAUAGGUGGGAGGCUUUGAAGUGUGGACGCCAGUCUGCAUGGAGCCGACCUUGAAAUACCACCCUUUAAUGUUUGAUGUUCUAACGUUGACCCGUAAUCCGGGUUGCGGACAGUGUCUGGUGGGUAGUUUGACUGGGGCGGUCUCCUCCUAAAGAGUAACGGAGGAGCACGAAGGUUGGCUAAUCCUGGUCGGACAUCAGGAGGUUAGUGCAAUGGCAUAAGCCAGCUUGACUGCGAGCGUGACGGCGCGAGCAGGUGCGAAAGCAGGUCAUAGUGAUCCGGUGGUUCUGAAUGGAAGGGCCAUCGCUCAACGGAUAAAAGGUACUCCGGGGAUAACAGGCUGAUACCGCCCAAGAGUUCAUAUCGACGGCGGUGUUUGGCACCUCGAUGUCGGCUCAUCACAUCCUGGGGCUGAAGUAGGUCCCAAGGGUAUGGCUGUUCGCCAUUUAAAGUGGUACGCGAGCUGGGUUUAGAACGUCGUGAGACAGUUCGGUCCCUAUCUGCCGUGGGCGCUGGAGAACUGAGGGGGGCUGCUCCUAGUACGAGAGGACCGGAGUGGACGCAUCACUGGUGUUCGGGUUGUCAUGCCAAUGGCACUGCCCGGUAGCUAAAUGCGGAAGAGAUAAGUGCUGAAAGCAUCUAAGCACGAAACUUGCCCCGAGAUGAGUUCUCCCUGACCCUUUAAGGGUCCUGAAGGAACGUUGAAGACGACGACGUUGAUAGGCCGGGUGUGUAAGCGCAGCGAUGCGUUGAGCUAACCGGUACUAAUGAACCGUGAGGCUUAACCUU
rnacentral:rRNA from 1 species